rnacentral:misc_RNA from 1 species
GAUGAAGAACGCAUCGAAAUGCGAUAAGUAAUGCGAAUUGCAGAAUUCAGUGAAUCAUCGAAUCUUUGAACGCACAUUGCGCCCGCCAGUACUCUGGCGGGCAUGCCUGUCUGAGCGUCAUUUCAACCCUCGCGCCCGGCUUCUGUCGGGGGCGGUGUUGGGGAUCGGCCUCCCGUCUUCCGGGCGGCCGGCCCCUAAAUGGAGUGGCGACCGCGCCGUAGCCUCCUCUGCGUAGUAGUGAAACACUCGCGGGCGGAGAGCGGUGCGGCCCGCCGUAAAACCCCCAACUCUUCUAAGGUUGACCUCAGAUCAGGUAGGAAUACCCGCUGAACUUAAGCAUAUCAAUAAGCGGAGGA